rnacentral:rRNA from 1 species
ACUGUCUCUAUUAGAUUUAUUAUUAAAAUUAACUUUUAAGUUAAAAGGCUUAAAUUUUACUUAAAGACGAGAAGACCCUAUAGAGUUUUAUAGCUUAGUUGUGGGGAGUUUUUGGCUAUUUUAUUUCUUUAUGAUGAAUGUUAUUUGGUUGGGGUGACUUAAAGAUUUAGUAAACUCUUUAAAUUUGAAGUUAUUGAUUUGUAAAUAAUUAAUCUAAUUUUUUUAAAUUUAAAAUAAAUUACCUUAGGGAUAACAGCGUAAUUUUUCUUUAGAGUUCUUAUUGAAAGGGAAGU